UACGUAGGCAGCGAGCGUUGUUCGGAGUUACUGGGCGUAAAGGGCGCGUAGGCGGCAAUUCAAGUCAUCUGUGAAAUCUCCGAGCUUAACUCGGAACGGUCAGAUGAUACUGCUUUGCUAGAGUGCAGAAGGGGCAACCGGAAUUCUUGGUGUAGCGGUGAAAUGCGUAGAUAUCGAGAGGAACACCUGCGGCGAAGGCGGGUUGCUGGGCUGACACUGACGCUGAUGCGCGAAAGCCAGGGGAGCGAACGGG
rnacentral:rRNA from 1 species